CCUUUAGAUGUUCUGGGCCGCACGCGCGCUACACUGAUGCAUUCAACGAGUCUAAAACCUGCUCUGAUAGGGGUGGGUAAUCUUUUGAAUGUGCAUCGUGAUUGGGAUAGAUGAUUGCAAUUUUUCAUCUUCAACGAGGAAUGCCUAGUAAACGCAAGUCAUCAGCUUGCAUUGAUUACGUCCCUGCCCUUUGUACACACCGCCCGUCGCUCCUACCGAUUGAAUGAUCCGAUGAAUAUCAUGGAUUGAGGAUGCAAGUAGGUUCGCCUAUCUUCAUCUUCGAGAAGUGAAGUAAAUCUUAUCAUUUAGAGGAAGGAGAAGUCGUAACA
rnacentral:rRNA from 1 species